UAAUGUUUGUGCUCUCUUUUAUUGUUAGGGAUUGAACUUAGUUCAUAGAAUUGACUAUCAUUGUGAGCCCUCUUCCUUUCAUACCAGGCAUCUUUAUUCCAAUUGUCGCAUUAUCUGGGUUCUCCAGUAUGUAGAGGUAAUUAUUAAUUGCCUAUAUGUUGUAAUCAUUAGAGACAUAUUAUCUUUAUAAAGUAAUUCAGAUCAUUAUAUUCCUUCUAUAUGUCUUGGGGCUCCCUACAUAGAUGUUUGCUUUUUCUUUCCCCUUCACAGUUUUCGAUUUACAUGUCUCACUAUGGGAAAGGCACUUCAAGUUCAUUCUAAUAUUUUCAGCAGAUGACCUAUGUUUCUCGCGUUUUAAGAUUAUACAGCGACAACCUUGCUUGACCCUCGCUCUGAUGAAGAGGCUCCACCCUAUAUAAGCCUCGAAACGUUGGCACGUCUGUCUUUACUGCAAUAGACAGCUUUCUAAGGGGGUGUUUUCUAUACGCAAUUUUUCGUCGCUAUUAUAUAUUGUUUUCUAUGUUUUGUUAUUAUCCUUGUAAUUUUUGAUGUUUAAAGUUGUUUGACCUCUGUAUGCCCGGAUUUGCUUGCCCCUUUUCUUGGUCAUAUUGGAUGCUUUUACUACAUUUUGUAACUUUGGCCUUGAUGUGUUGUUCACUUUAACAACACUGAAUAAAAUGUGAUACUUUGUGACAA